GGUGAGAUGGCCGAGCGGUCUAAGGCGCCAGACUAAGGAGUCUAAGUAUUUGAACUGUGGCUUACGACAUCUGGUCCGAAAGGGCGUGGGUUCGAAUCCCACUCUCAUCA